UCAUUGGCGUUGUGUUGAUAUAAAAGGCUCUUUUGUUUUUGUCUGAAUGUUUGUGUUAAAGAGAUCUUAUGUUGCUCCUAUUUCUUAAUGUUCUUGUUGGGUUCGGAUAAAUGCGGAACAGGUGUUUGUUGAAUUGCCUCAGCGACCAAGCAGAGAGUGAAAUGGGUGCCUUUGUUGGCUUGACAAAAGAGAAGAAACCUGUGGAACCCGGAGUGUUCAAUGAAGAAAAUGUUGGUACUGAACAGGAUAUUGAUGCGUCUUUCAAGCAAAAUGGGUAUGGAGAAGGGAAGGGAUUAUCCUAAUGCAGUAUCCCCAGGAACAAACCGAUACAGAUUAUGAAUACAAAGAGUUUCAACCAGAAGAAGACUUCCCCAAUCACACUCACUUUCACGACACUUCUUCUACACUCAGCAGCCCACACAUGGCGACCACCUCAGCUGAUUUUACUCCUGACAACAGAUGCCUCUCAACUCUAAAUGCAAGCUGAUUGCUGCCUCCCAAGACAAGAUGAAGGCCGCCAUUUGUCCAGGAUUCCUGCAUGUCAGAUGUCCAUGUUUUCUGCUGGCUUUCAUCUCAGCUCAGCACACAAUUGUCCAGCUUCCAUGCUCCUUGUUUUCCUCUUAGUUUUCAGUUAUGUAAUUUAGUAUGUUCAUUGUUUUCUGCUAUGUAUUUCGGUUUUCUCUUCUCUUGUAAAAACACACGAGCCAUUUGACUAUAUAUAUACAUGGUACUGCACUGUUAUUGGUUAUGUAACCAAAACGGUUUUCCUCCAA